GUAUAAGAGACAGCAGCAGCCGCGGUAAAACGGAGGGUGCAAGCGUUAUCCGGAUUUACUGGGUUUAAAGGGUGUGUAGGCGGGUAUUUAAGUCAGUGGUGAAAUCUCCGAGCUCAACUUGGAAACUGCCAUUGAUACUAUUUAUCUUGAAUUUUGUUGAGGUAGGCGGAAUAAGUCAUGUAGCGGUGAAAUGCAUAGAUAUGACUUAGAACACCAAUUGCGAAGGCAGCUUGCUAAACAAAUAUUGACGCUGAGGCACGAAAGCGUGGGGAUCAAACAGGAUUAGAGACCCCCGUAGUCCCUGUCUCUUAUAC
rnacentral:rRNA from 1 species